GGGCGGGACACGUGUUAUCCUGUCUGAAUAUGGGGGGACCAUCCUCCAAGGCUAAAUACUCCUGACUGACCGAUAGUGAACCAGUACCGUGAGGGAAAGGCGAAAAGAACCCCUGUGAGGGGAGUGAAAUAGAACCUGAAACCGUGUACGUACAAGCAGUAGGAGCACCUUCGUGGUGUGACUGCGUACCUUUUGUAUAAUGGGUCAGCGACUUAUAUUCAGUGGCAAGGUUAACCAUCUAGGGGAGCCGUAGGGAAACCGAGUCUUAACUGGGCGCCAUAGUCUCUGGAUAUAGACCCGAAACCGAGUGAUCUAGCCAUGGGCAGGUUGAAGGUUGAGUAACAUCAACUGGAGGACCGAACCGACUAAUGUUGAAAAAUUAGCGGAUGACUUGUGGCUAGGGGUGAAAGGCCAAUCAAACUCGGAGAUAGCUGGUUCUCCCCGAAAGCUAUUUAGGUAGCGCCUCGGACGAAUACUACUGGGGGUAGAGCACUGUUAAGGCUAGGGGGUCAUCCCGACUUACCAACCCUUUGCAAACUCCGAAUACCAGUAAGUACUAUCCGGGAGACACACGGCGGGUGCUAACGUCCGUCGUGGAGAGGGAAACAACCCAGACCGCCAGCUAAGGUCCCAAAUUACAGCUAAGUGGGAAACGAUGUGGGAAGGCUUAGACAGCUAGGAUGUUGGCUUAGAAGCAGCCAUCAUUUAAAGAAAGCGUAAUAGCUCACUAGUCGAGUCGGCCUGCGCGGAAGAUGUAACGGGGCUAAGUUGUAAACCGAAGCUGCGGCAAUGUUCUAUGAACAUUGGGUAGGGGAGCGUUCUGUAAGCCGUUGAAGGUGUGUUGUAAAGCAUGCUGGAGGUAUCAGAAGUGCGAAUGCUGACAUGAGUAACGACAAGGGGGGUGAAAAACCUCCCCGCCGGAAGACCAAGGGUUCCUGUCCAACGUUAAUCGGGGCAGGGUAAGUCGACCCCUAAGGCGAGGCUGAAAAGCGUAGUCGAUGGGAAACGGGUUAAUAUUCCCGUACUUCUUACAAUUGCGAUGGGGGGACGGAGAAGGCUAGGUGGGCCUGGCGACGGUUGUCCAGGUUCAAGUGCGUAGGCUGAGUGUUUAGGUAAAUCCGGAUACUCUUAAGGCUGAGACACGACGUCGAGCUACUACGGUAGUGAAGUCAUUGAUGCCAUGCUUCCAGGAAAAGCCUCUAAGCUUCAGAUUGUAAGGAAUCGUACCCCAAACCGACACAGGUGGUCGGGUAGAGAAUACCAAGGCGCUUGAGAGAACUCGGGUGAAGGAACUAGGCAAAAUGGUACCGUAACUUCGGGAGAAGGUACGCUCUUGAUGGUGAAGUCCCUUGCGGAUGGAGCUGACGAGAGUCGCAGAUACCAGGUGGCUGCAACUGUUUAUUAAAAACACAGCACUGUGCAAAAUCGUAAGAUGACGUAUACGGUGUGACGCCUGCCCGGUGCCGGAA
rnacentral:rRNA from 1 species